CUGCCUUGGCUGGGGUAGAAGCGGCUAACGUUGACACAGGCCGCGUCGCAGCCUCGCCUCGGGGUCGGAAGCGUCCGCCGCGUCCUCCUUCCCUUCUCGAGCCGUCUUCGAGGACGCUUCCCAGACGGGUCCCCACAGCGCCCGGAGGGGAGCCCACGGCUCCUCAGCACGCACCCCUCCUCCGCGCGGGGUUCUCACGCACAGCCUCUCCUGCCAUCAUCACAUCUGUUUUCACGACGGGACUGCUAUUUACUUGUCACCGUCUUCCUCCCCUGGAGUAGAACCACCACCAUCGGGAGGAACAUGUCUGCCCGCUGACCAGGGAGCAGACACUCGGUACAGGUCUGCUGGGCAAAUAAACAAAUCCCCUUGAACCUGUAUGAAGAAAGACCAUGAGGGCAUAACAACUUCUAAGACUCCUCGGAGGGCACUGCAAGUAUCCCACUCCUGACCUGUGGACUGGGUAGCAGGAGGGCAAAUGCAAAUUCUGAAGGAUCUCACUUGGAAGCCCACGCUGAGUUCACGCAGUGUGAUGAGUGAUGUGCACAACCUGGGAAAGGGAAGGGACGCAGGUGCCCACAGGAGUCUGCCUGCUCAAGCAGCCGGGGACCUCAGCGCCUCCUUGCAAAAUUGGCCUCUCAGAGCCCAUGGGGCUCGGGCCAAAGAAGAGGGCUGGCUGCCAUUUAUUUGCCACCCAAACAACCAAGAGAGAAAAGCAGGUAACUAGAUUUCUUUCCCUCUGGAUUUUGAUUUUAGCAGAAAGAGACAAACCACAAACGACCGAACAAUGAUCUGGCAUUGAUUCACACCGACAACUGGGUCACCUGGGCCUUCGUAGUCUCCAGGUACAGCAUCCCUUCCUGUCGGGGCCACCACAUGGGGUUCAAGGACACCUAUGGUACUUAGUCCUCUACUUAGAGCACCAAAAGGAUGCCAGGUGCCAAGUACAUGCGUGGUGUUCUAAUUCUUUAACCUGAGUUGCUCUGUGGCUGAUCCACCUACAUGGUGACAUCAGAGCAAGUAGUGAGCUCCCCCAGCACUGGACCGGCUGGGUUCAAGUCAACGUUCUUCAUUCCCCAGGGCACAUUCAACACAACUGUACUCGCUCCACCACUGUGCACACUCAGCGCCUGCCCUGGGCAAGAGGCUCUCUGACCCAGUGAAUAUGUUUGGCUAGAAAUGCCCUAAAGUUAACUUUGUAAAAGGGGGAGAAAGAUAUUUAUGGUAGGAAAAUAAAAUUCACGGUUUUGUUUCUUUCAAAAAAAUAAAGUCUUCUUACCUAAUGACAAGUACUACAAAA